GGUGAACGCUGGCGGUAGGCCUAACACAUGCAAGUCGAACGGCAGCACAGUAAGAGCUUGCUCUUACGGGUGGCGAGUGGCGGACGGGUGAGGAAUACAUCGGAAUCUACUUUUUCGUGGGGGAUAACGUAGGGAAACUUACGCUAAUACCGCAUACGACCUACGGGUGAAAGCAGGGGAUCUUCGGACCUUGCGCGAUUGAAUGAGCCGAUGUCGGAUUAGCUAGUUGGCGGGGUAAAGGCCUACCAAGGCGACGAUCCGUAGCUGGUCUGAGAGGAUGAUCAGCCACACUGGAACUGAGACACGGUCCAGACUCCUACGGGAGGCAGCAGUGGGGAAUAUUGGACAAUGGGCGCAAGCCUGAUCCAGCCAUACCGCGUGGGUGAAGAAGGCCUUCGGGUUGUAAAGCCCUUUUGUUGGGAAAGAAAAGCAGCAGGUUAAUACCCCGCUGUUCUGACGGUACCCAAAGAAUGAGCACCGGCUAACUUCGUG
rnacentral:rRNA from 1 species